rnacentral:rRNA from 1 species
UACGGCAAUACCAUGCUGCAUAUACCGGUUCUCGUUAGAUCACCGAAGUCAAGCAUCAUUGGGCGCGGUCAGUACUUGGGUGGGUGACCACCUGGGAACACCGCGUGCCGUU